UACGAAGGGGGCUAGCGUUGCUCGGAAUCACUGGGCGUAAAGCGCACGUAGGCGGAUUGUUAAGUCAGGGGUGAAAUCCUGGAGCUCAACUCCAGAACUGCCUUUGAUACUGGCGAUCUCGAGUCCGGGAGAGGUGAGUGGAACUGCGAGUGUAGAGGUGAAAAUUCGUAGAUAUUCGCAAGAACACCAGUGGCGAAGGCGGACUCACUGGCCCGGUACUGACGCUGAGGUGCGAAAGCGUGGGG
rnacentral:rRNA from 1 species